rnacentral:rRNA from 1 species
CCUACGGGUGGCAGCAGUGAGGAAUAUUGGUCAAUGGCCGGAAGGCUGAACCAGCCAUGCCGCGUGAAGGUCAGUGCCCUAUGGGCGUUAAACUUCUUUUGUGCGGGAGCAAUAAUGGUCACGUGUGGCCAGACGAGAGUACCGUACGAAUAAGCAUCGGCUCACUCCGUGCCAGCAGCCGCGGUAAUACGGGGGAUGCAAGCGUUAUCCGGAAUUAUUGGGUUUAAAGGGUGCGUAGGCUGUGAGGUAAGUCAGCGGUGAAAUGCCCCCGCUCAACGGGGUGAAGUGCCAUUGAUACUGCCUUGCUGGAGUGCGGAUGCCGUGGGAGGAAUGUGUGGUGUAGCGGUGAAAUGCAUAGAUAUCACACAGAACACCGAUUGCGAAGGCAGCUCACGAAUCCGCGAUUGACGCUGAUGCACGAAAGCGUGGGUAUCAAACAGGAUUAGAUACCCUAGUAGUC